AACGAACGCUGGCGGCAGGCCUAACACAUGCAAGUCGAGCGCUCUCUUCGGAGGGAGCGGCGGACGGGUUAGUAACGCGUGGGAAUGUGCCUCUGGGUGCGGAACAACCGUUGGAAACGACGGCUAAUACCGCAUGACGUCUACGGACCAAAGAUUUAUCGCCCAGAGAUCAGCCCGCGUCUGAUUAGCUAGUUGGGGGGGUAACGGCCCACCAAGGCGACGAUCAGUAGCUGGUUUGAGAGGAUGAUCAGCAACACUGGGACUGAGACACGGCCCAGACUCCUACGGGAGGCAGCAGUGGGGAAUCUUGGACAAUGGGCGCAAGCCUGAUCCAGCCAUGCCGCGUGAGCGAUGAAGGCCUUAGGGUUGUAAAGCUCUUUCACCGGUGAAGAUAAUGACGGUAGCCGGAGAAGAAGCCCCGGCUAACUCCGUGCCAGCCGCCGCCGUAAAAC
rnacentral:rRNA from 1 species